UGAGUAACGCGUAUCCAACCUUCCGUACACUCAGGGAUAGCCUUUCGAAAGAAAGAUUAAUACCCGAUGGUAUGAUGAGAUUGCAUGAUAGCAUCAUUAAAGAUUUAUCGGUGUACGAUGGGGAUGCGUUCCAUUAGGUAGUAGGCGGGGUAACGGCCCACCUAGCCGACGAUGGAUAGGGGUUCUGAGAGGAAGGUCCCCCACAUUGGAACUGAGACACGGUCCAAACUCCUACGGGAGGCAGCAGUGAGGAAUAUUGGUCAAUGGACGAGAGUCUGAACCAGCCAAGUAGCGUGAAGGAUGAAGGUCCUACGGAUUGUAAACUUC
rnacentral:rRNA from 1 species